GUGCCCCUUUAAGGUUGCUGCAGUGCUUUAAGAGGGGAACACAGACUGGCAAGGCACCCCUCCAUAAAACCCAGAGACGAGGUCUGUGGAACUCUUCUUUGGAGCCCAUCUGGAGUCACAGCU
rnacentral:snoRNA from 15 species